UACAGAGGGUGCGAGCGUUAAUCGGAAUUACUGGGCGUAAAGCGCGCGUAGGCGGCUUUGCAAGUCGGGUGUGAAAUCCCCAGGCUCAACCUGGGAACUGCAUUCGAGACUGCAUUGCUAGAGUAUGGGAGAGGGAAGUGGAAUUUCCGGUGUAGCGGGUGAAAAUGCGCAGAUAUCAGGAGGAACACCGGUGGCGAAGGCGGGUCUCUGGGCCGAUACUGACGCUGAGGAGCGAAAGCGUGGGAGC
rnacentral:rRNA from 1 species